CUUCGAGGUGUGCGGGUUGGAGCGAGUCCUCUGCAGGGAGCGGCUCGUGAGGCGCGGUUCCUCGCGAAGCCUUCUAUCGAGGGAUGGCGCUCGCGAGGCCUCCCGAGGGGGCUUAUCCUGCACUAGGAGUGAUGGGGUCAUAGUCCUAUGGUAGGUCAUAGGCCUGCCCUGUAGGUCCAACCCAAGGACUACCCCUCAUAAGGGACAAGGCCCUUAGUCAGUUCCGACUGAACUAAGGAGUUCCCUUCAUCCAGUCGGUAACAGAUCCUCGACCAUCCAGUCGGAGAUUAGCAUUCGGAGUUUAUCAAACUAACCGACUGGAUUCCACUCUGUGCAUCGUAACCCCCCUGGAGGGAAACGGUCAUACGUUUCCAUGUGCCUUUAUUAGCAUUUAAGACGUACGUUACCUGUAACGUAGGCAUUUAUUCGCAACUACUCCACCCCUGUGCACCGAGCCGUUGUGGAGGGCAGCGCACUCUAUAUAAGCCACUCUCCCCCACUGGUGCAGGGGUUAGCAACUCGUUGUAUUCCAUAUUCCACUCGACAACAAGCUUCCAGAGCACUGAGACGUAGGACUAUUACCUCCGUCGCAGAGGGGCCUGAACUCAUACAACCUCGCCGUAGCUAAGGCUCUGCCCAUCCUUUCGUACCCUACAUAUCUACUGUCAGACUUAUACCCACGACAGUUGACGCCCACCGUGGGGCAGGCGUCUAAGCGACUUUCCGGCGAGUUUGCGACUACAUCUUUUCGUCAUGUCGUCCGGUGGAGAUUCGAGCAUGGGUCACGAGAUGUUCUUCGGCGCUCUCUCCUUCAUCGUCAAUGAUUCGGCAUGGCUUCGGGACGCCCCUCUCGACGUCGAGGCGCUUCCCCGCCGCGGGGCUACGCAUUUCCGUGCCGGCGCCCGCGGCAUUUUUCUUCUCCAGCAGUCGGCUCCGGUGUCGACCUACACCGCCGUCACACGCCGCAACAAGCGGUCCCGCCAUCCGCGGCUCCAGCGUUGGGUGCAACACGCCCAGGCGCGCCAGAACGCGUCUUCACAAGUGGCGGUUCUAGAGUCGGUUGUGGUUGCCCCGCCGUCCCAGCGCUCGGACUCGGUUCCGACUGAGUUUCCGUCUGAGUACGCGGGUCGCGGGCCUGCAGCAGAAGUACACAUGGCCAACUCCCAUGAAGAUCCCUGUCAAGCUGGCCGGAACGAGCACGAGAUCGGCGAAACGUCCAGCGCGCGUCGUCCGCCUCGCCGUUCUGCUAGUCGGCACACUCGGCGGAGCAACGUGGAGUUGUUCCGCACACCCCUCCUCAACUUGGCUGCGGCUGCCAAGAUAGCCGAUUCCCUUCAGCCGACUGAUUUAGAGGCUGGCAGGGGGAUCGAGCAAAUCCGCGCCCUAUUGCACACGGCGCAGCAGUAAAAUUCGGCUGUCUCCCAGUCGCACAACAGGAUCCACAAUAGUUUUGUUCAUGCGAAUACGCAUCGGUCAGUUCACAGCCCUGGUUCUCAUUAGCGACACAGGGGAGGCAACCGUUCCAUAAAUCCCGAAGAUCGUCGCCGUUCACGCACCCCUCCGCGGGGUGGGUCCUACGGGCCCCGACAUCAUGAUGAUCGGCGUUCAGUCGGUGACACUUACGACCCAAGGCCCGACGCGAGAGGGCGUAUCGCCCAGCGGAGGGCCGACAGGGGCCGAGCCCACCGCGAUAGUUACGAUAUUGACCGUCCGAGUGGAAGCAGGACCAUCGUGUCUGGUCCCGAGUGUUUUAGUUGAGCCAUCCGUUCGGCUGACAUCCCUCCCAACUUCCGAUUGGCGACGGGAAUCAGCAAGUUUACAGGAGAGUCCAAGCCAGAAACGUGGCUGGAUGAUUACCGAGUGGCAGUCCAGAUCGGAGGAGGGGACGACCAUGUCGCCAUGAAGCACCUCCCUCUGAUGCUCGACGGCUCGGCGCGAGCGUGGCUGAACCAGUUGGCCCCCUCAAGCAUUUACAGUUGGGCAGAUCUGGCCCGAGUGUUCAUCAGGAGCUUUGAAGGGACGUGCAAGCGCCUUGCUGGCCUCGUGGAGCUCCAGCACUGCGUCCAGAAGCAGAAUGAGCCCCCUUCGUGAUUUCAUUCAGCGUUGGACAACUCUUUACCACACGGUGGAGAACGUCACAGAGCAUCAAGCAGUCCGCGCCUUCAAGGCAGGCGUGCGGUACAGGGAUCUGUACCUAAAGUUCGGCCGAACAGGUGACAUCUCCAUGAACAAGAUGAUGGAGAUAGCAGCACGCUAUGCAAAUGGCGAAGAAGAGGACCGCAUCCGAAGCGGCAAGCACAAGACAGUCGGUGAUGGAGAUGGAAGUAACACUCGGAAGCAGAAGCAGAAAGCUCCGUCCACUCCGCAGGCAGAAGCUGCAGCCGUAACCAAUGCCAAGUUCAAGGGCAAAGGGAAGGCUCAGUUCACCCCCAAGAAAAAGCAGUUCAAUAAUCCCAUCCUGGACCAGCCAUGUCCGGUUCAUACGAAGAUGGAUGAAGAGGGCAACCCCAUAUAUCCGAAGCAGACCACUCGACGGUGUCGCCUCCUGAUCCAGGGGUUCGGUGAAGGGCAACCGAGUGAAAAGGACAAUGAACAUGAUGAGGAGGAUAAGGAGGAUCUGCCCCCCCAAGUCCAUGCAACACUGAUGAUUUUUGCUGACGUUGAGAGCAAGAGUCGACUGAAGCUGGUGAACAGGGAGGUGAACAUGGCCAUCCCUAACAACCCCAAGUUCCUCAAAUGGUCUCAGACUACGAUCACCUUUGAUCAGUCGGAUCAUUCAACACACGUACCCACCCCAGGGAGACAGGCUCUGGUCGUCAACCCGGAGGUGGAAGGAGUUCGACUGCGCAAAGUCCUCAUGGACGUCGGCAGUGGCUUGAACAUCAUGUACGCCGACACUCUCAAGGGGAUGGGCAUUCCGAUGUCCAAACUCAGCGAAAGCAGCAUGCAGUUCCAUGGAGUCGUCCCUAGACGGAAGGCCAAGUCACUCGGCCAGAUCGCGUUGGACGUCGUUUUCGGCUUAAGACAAGAACUUCCGCAAGGAAAAGCUGACGUUCGAGGUGGUAGACUUCCAGAGCGCUUACCACGCAAUUCUAGGCCGCCCGGCGUAUGCGCGUUUCAUGGCCCGUCUAUGUUACGUAUACCUGAAGUUGAAGAUGCUAGGCCCGAAAGGUGUGAUCACCAUCACUGGCAAUCGACAGCGAGCCGAAGAGUCUGCAGCAAGGAUCAAGAAUCGCCGACCAGCAGAUGGCUGUCAUCGAGUUUGACGAGUACAAGAAGACAGUCGACCCUGCUGAUUUGAUGCGUUCGAAGAAGCCAGCUUCGGAGUCCGCAUUUCAGUCGGCGGGAGAGACGAAGAAGAUCAACAUCCACCCGACGGACAACACUGCUGCCCCGACGAACAUCUCCACCACCCUCGAUCCUAAAUAGGAAGCCGAGCUCACCCAAUUCCUCCGUGAGAACUGGGACAUCUUCGCAUGAAAACCCUCUGACAUGCCGGGUGUACCCAGGGAGUUGGCUGAGCACCGACUGCAUGUGGAUCCCACCGCUCGGCCCGUCCGAGAACGCCUGCGCCGGUCCGUCGCGCAUAAGAGGAAGGCAAUCGGGGAAGAGGUGGCCAAGCUGUUGGCAGCCAACUUCAUUCGCGAGGUCCACCACUCCGAGUGGCUCGCCAAUGUUGUCAUGGUGCCCAAGAAGGACAAGUCGCUCCGAAUGUGCAUCGACUUCAAGCAUCUCAAUAAGGUCUGCCCGAAAGACUAUUUUUCGCUCCCCCGCAUCGAUCAAAUUGUCGAUUCGACUGCGGGUUGCGAGCGUUUGUCUUUUUUGAUGCCUACUCGGGCUAUCAUCAGAUCCGUCUGUAUGGCCUCGAUGAAUUAAAAACAGCCUUCAUCACCCCAUUCGGGUGCUUCUGCUACAUCACUAUGCUAUUCGGUUUGAAGAAUGCAGGAACUACCUUUAUGCGCAUGAUCCAAAAAUGCCUCCUCGACCAGAUCGGUCGGAAUGUGGAGGCGUAUAUGGAUGAUACCGUAGUCAAGUCACGCAAAGGUUUCGACCUGCUGACUGACUUGGCAGAAACAUUCGCCAACCUUCGUAGGUACGAUAUCAAGCACAACCCCGCCAAGUGUUCAUUCGGCGUUCCCAGCGGAAAGUUACUCGGUUUCUUCGUUUUCGAACGAGGGAUCGAUGUCAACCCCGAAAAAAUCAGGACCAUCGUCCGAAUGGAGAGGCCGGUCAGAAUACACGAUGUUCAACGGCUCACAGGUUGCCUAGCGGCUUUGAGCAGGUUUAUCAGUCGACUCGGCGAGAAAGCACUUCCUCUGUACCGACUCAUUAAGAAAAUCAGAUACGUUCGAGUGGACAGACGAAGCCCAAGUCGCAUUCGACGACCUCAAAGUCCUACUUUCCACCCAGUCGGUUCUUACUGCUCCGCUCAAUAAAGAGCCCUUCUUCUGUAUAUCGCGGCUACAAAUCAAGUCGACAACACUGUUCUUACAGUCGAACGAGAAGAAGAAGACGAAGCAUACAAAGUUCAGCGGCCAGUGUAUUACGUCUCCGAAGUCCUGACUCCUUCCAAGCAGAGGUAUCCCCACUAUCAAAAACUUAUCUACGGGAUUUACAUUACUGCGAAGAAGGUAGCCCAUUAUUUUUAAGACCAUUCGGUGUCUGUUGUUUUUGAUGCCCCGUUAUAGGAAAUCCUCCACAAUCGGGACGCAUCAGGCCGAGUGGCGAAGUGGACAAUGAAGAUGUUGUACUGCGAUAUCAAGUUCGAGGCCAAUAAAGCUAUAAAGUCUCAAGCCCUGCCUGACUUCAUAGCAGAAUGGGUAGAACAAAAGCAACCGACCCACAUCUACUCGGCUUAUUGGACAAUGUUCUUUGAUGGGUCCAAGAUGUUGAAUGGCUCCGGCGCUGGCGUUGUGAUCGUAUCGCCAAAGGGCGACAAACUCAAAUAUGUGCUGCAGAUAAACUUUGAUUCCUCCAACAAUGAGGCAGAGUAUGAAGCUCUCCUUUAUGGACUGCGUAUGGCCAUCGCACUCGGCGUCCGUCGCCUGAUGGUCUUUGGCGAUUCGACUUUGGUGGUUAAUCAAGUGAUGAAAGAGUGGGACGUCAGGAACCCCACCAUGACCACAUACUGCAAUGCAGUGAGGAAGCUCGAGAAGAAGUUUGAAGGUCUAGAACUCCACCAUGUUCCGCGACUGAAGAACCAAGCAGCUGAUGAAUUGGCGAAACUCGGAUCCACUCGGAGACCAGUCCCGAGUGACGUCUGCCUCGAGCACCUCCACCUUCCCUCAGUCAAAGAAGAUCCUUUCACAGAAAAACAAGUACAACCAAAGAGCACGACAGAUCCGACUGAAGUCGACGUACCUGCUGUGGUUGAUCUGAUCAUGAAGAUUAUUGCUGUCAUCUCUGAUUGGACUGUGCCGAUCAUUGCAUAUAUCCUGAGGCAGGAAUUACCAGAAGACGAAGUCCAGGCCAGGCAGAUAGUCCGCAGGUCGAAGUCGUUCACUGUCAUUGAUGGCUAGUUGUACAAGGAAAGCGUUUCAGGCGUUCUUCAACGAUGUAUCUCCCCAGAGGAGGGACAGUUGAUCCUGGAAGAAAUUCACUUGGGAACCUGCGGUCAUCACGCCUCUUCGAGAGCGAUCGUCGCCAAAGCAUUCAGAGCUGGUUUCUUCUGGCUGCAGGCAAACGAAAUGGCUAAAGAUAUGGUCGACCGAUGUGAAGCCUGUUAGUUCUACUCCAACAAGUCCCACAAGCCAACAUCUGCGUUGAAGACAAUCCCUCUUGUGUGGCUGUUUUUAGUAUGGGGAUUAGAUACAGUCGGUUCAUUCAGGACAGGCCAAGGAGGAUACACACAUCUGUUGGUGGCAGUUGACAAGUUCACAAAAUGGAUUGAAGCAAAAGGCCAUCAAGAAGCUCGACGCCCUAACAGCCAUCAAGUUUGUCAGGGAUAUCAUCUCCCGAUUCGGGGUACCUCACAGCAUAAUCACAGACAACGGAACAAACUUUGACUCGGACAGAUUCAAAGGUUUCUGUGCAAGCCAUGGUAUCUGAGUGGAUUUUGCAUUCGUGGCGCAUCCUCAAUCAAACGGACAAGCAGAGCGGACAAAUGGACUUAUUCUGCAAGGUUUGAAGCCCCGACUCCUGCGAGAGAUGGGACAUGCCGCUGGCGUAUGGGUCACCGAGCUACCUUCAGUACUUUGGGGUCUCCGCACAACCCCGAACAGAUCUACAGGGCGAUCACCGUUCUUCCUCGUUUACGGAGCAGAAGCAGUCCUUCCGAGUGACUUGAUUCACAAUGCUCCAUGAGUCGAGCUCUUCUCCGAAGCUGAAUCAGAACAAGCGAGGCAAGACGGAGUGAACCUUCUAGAGGAGGAGCGCGAGAUGGCUCUGACUCGUUCAACCAUUUAUCAACAAGAUCUGCGGCGCUUUCACGCACGCCACGUCAGGAGUCGCACGUUCCAAGCAGACGACCUGGUGCUCCGAGNNNNNNNNNNNNNNNNNNNNNNNNNNNNNNNNNNNNNNNNNNNNNNNNNNNNNNNNNNNNNNNNNNNCAAAUGGACUUAUUCUGCAAGGUUUGAAGCCCCGACUCCUGCGAGAGAUGGGACAUGCCGCUGGCGUAUGGGUCACCGAGCUACCUUCAGUACUUUGGGGUCUCCGCACAACCCCGAACAGAUCUACAGGGCGAUCACCGUUCUUCCUCGUUUACGGAGCAGAAGCAGUCCUUCCGAGUGACUUGAUUCACAAUGCUCCAUGAGUCGAGCUCUUCUCCGAAGCUGAAUCAGAACAAGCGAGGCAAGACGGAGUGAACCUUCUAGAGGAGGAGCGCGAGAUGGCUCUGACUCGUUCAACCAUUUAUCAACAAGAUCUGCGGCGCUUUCACGCACGCCACGUCAGGAGUCGCACGUUCCAAGCAGACGACCUGGUGCUCCGAGUGGAUCAGCAAAGACCUCACAAGUUGGCUCCUGCCUGGGAAGGACCCUUCAUCAUCUCCAAGGUGCUGAACAACGGAGCAUACAGACUCUACAACAUCGACAGGGAGACAGACGAGCCGCGAGCAUGGAACGGAGAUCUCCUGAAACGCUUCUACACGUGACCGUCGACUGAAGCAAUGUAAAGAACAAGUAUUGGUGAAAUAAUAUAAAACAGAUUGAGCUUUUGCAGAUUCAAAAUUCUUUCGCGGUCGCAGACUCCGGUCUCAAAAAAAAAAACUUAGCUGCGAUCCAGAAUCGCCUAAGUACUAACUUUCUCCGAGUAAGUACUAAACGUCGCACUCGGAGAUUUAGCUGCGAUCACGAAUCGCCUAAGUACUAACUUUCUCCGAGUGUGCACUAAACGUCGCACUCAGGGACUUAGCUACGAUCACGAAUCGCCUAAGUACUAACUUUCUCCGAGUGUGCACUUAACGUCGCACUCGAUGACUUAGCUGUGAUCACGAAUCGCCUAAGUACUGACUUUCUCCGAGUAUGCACUAAACGUCGCACUCGGGGACUUAGCUGCGAUCAAGAAUCGCCUAAGUACUCCCCCCCCCCCCCCCUGCACUAAACGUCGCACUCGGGGACUUAGCUGCGAUCAAGAAUCGCCUAAGUACUGACUUUCUCCGAGUGUGCACUAAACGUCGCACUCGGGGACUUAGCUGCGAUCAAGAAUCGCCUAAGCACUAACUUUCUUCGAGUGUGCACUAAACGUCGCACUCAGGGACUUAGCUGCGAUGAAAAAUUGCCUAAGUACUAACUUUCUCCGAGUGUGCACUAAACGUCGCACUCGGGGACUUAGCUGCGAUCAAGAAUCGCCUAAUUACUAAUCUUCUCCGUGUGUGCACUAAACGUCGCACUCGGGGACUUAGCUGCGAUCAAGAAUCGCCUAAGUACUAAAUUUCUCCGAGUGUGCACUAAACGUCGCACUCGGGGACUUAGCUGCGAUCAAGAAUCGCCUAAGUACUGACUUUCUCCGAGUGUGCACUAAACGUCGCACUUGGGGACUUAGCUGCGAUCAAGAAUUGCCUAAGUACUAAUUUUCUCCGUGUGUGCACUAAACGUCGCACUCUGGGACUUAGCUGUGAUCAAGAAUCGCCUAAGUACAAAGCUUCCUGCGACUGUAUCCCACAGAUACACUCGGGGACUCAGCAGGCGCUCAUUGAGGCUCAUGUGGAUUUCAAGACCACUGACAAUUACAUGAGUAGCAGACCCUCAUUGAGGCUCUCAUAUGGAUGUCAAGACCACUGACAAUUACAUGAGUAGCAGACCCUCAUUGAGGCUCAUGUGGAUGUCAAGACCACUGACAAUUACAUGAGUACCAACUCGCUUCGAGUGAGGCCUGUCCGACGCACUCGACGACUUAGCCGCGAUCAUGAAUCGCCUAAGUACUCUAUUGUCUUCGAGUGUACCCUACAGAUCCACUCGGAGACUCAGCAGACCCUCAUUGAGGCUCGCCAAGGUUUCUUACAACCAACACUCGGCAUACCGAGGUAAAAGUUUUCUUACGCGUCGUCCGGAUUGGCGCCAGGACUAGAGGGCUCCACGAAUGUGUCCAGGUCGAUUCCGUCGGCGAUACGGGUGGCACUCUUAAGGAAGGUUUCCAUGAAGUCUUCGAAUCGAAGUUUCUUCGUGUUGGCGACCUUCAACGCUUUCAGCUUCUCUUCGCGCACCUCCUUGCAAUGCACUCGGACCAGGGACAGAGCAACGUCUGCACCACAGCGAGCCGCAUAUUUCUUCCAUGACUGCACUCGGUUUGGGACCUCCUCCAGUCGAGUCAUCAAGCUUUCCAUCUCAUGCCGCGACUCAUCUUCAGGCCAAAGCUCCUUGUCGAUCCGGCCGACGACUUCUCUUAGUCGAUCGAUGAAAGGACCAACUUUGCCCACGCGAAUGUGCGCUCGGAGCAGAUCUCGAUUGGCGUCCUCGCCGAGUGGAAUGUUCUUGCGAAUCGACCGCUCCACGUCAGCUGCUUCAGCUUCAGCGUCCAUGCAAAAAUCUGCAAACACAGGACAAGCAAACAAUAAGCGCCGAGUGUAACGCACAUACCACAAGCACUCGGAAAAACAGGACUUACCAACCAGACGCGUUAUCAUCUGCCGGGCCCAGUCGCUGAUGUAUUUUUCCUGCGCUAUACACCGCUUGUUCAGCACAUUCAUUUGCCCCAUCAGCUCAGACCUAUGCGCCUUCAUCUUCUCAACUUCAGUAGUCAGUGCCUUGUUCGCUUCACGGGCCUGCUCCAACGACUUCUCUCGUUCCUCCAGAACGUCCUUCAUACCAGCCAUUGCAAUCAGUGCCGCAUCCAGCUCACCGGCAAACUGAACCUUUUCAGCCCUAAGAGUCUCGUAUGCUGUCCCCAUCUCACAAGUUUUCUGCCAGCCAGCACCAAUAGACGAUCAGACAAAUCCAACAAUAAAAAGUUUAAGUUCUUCAGACCCCUGCCGACGCAAGCAGUCGACAGCGGUCUCGGGGACUACACCCAGUGGGUUCACUGAGAGUGACCCCACUGGCAUGAAACUCAAACAGGUCCGCCCUAUUGAGAUGCAUGACAACACCUACGCCUACGAGGCUAAUACUACCCGACCUGAGUAAAAUUACUCUUGGGGACUCUUACAGUAGGUGCACUCCGAGUGCCCCAACCGUUAGCAUUUGACCAGAUUAUUUACGGAUCUGACCAAGUCAAAGACAAUAUGCAUAAAGACAACUGCCGGUGCAAGCACUCGACAGAAGUCUCGGGGACUACACCCACUGGGUUCACUCAGAGUGAACCCAUUGCAAACAUCAUACGGUAUCCGAGCACACCCAGUGGGUUACAAGAGAAAAGUAAAUACUUACUAGCCCACUUACUCGGAUAUCGUCCCGCAGCUCCAAGCUCCGCUGGUACAGGGAUGCGAUGGAGUCAUACGCUUUCUUGUCUUCUCCCGCCAUCAGCUCCGCCUGCACCAUGACCCCCUUGGCCGCUCCCACCUGAUCCUCCGGCAGGCGCUGGACGUUGAACUCGACAUUUGACGGGCCUGACAUCGUUGGAAGCUCUUUGGGCAUCCCAAGGCCCGCUCCAGUCGGUUCAGCAGCAACCAGCACCGUUUCAGUCGGCGGCAUCGCCUCAGUCGGCGGCACGUCCGCGGCGAGAGCAGUAACUGGCGGAACAGCCUCAAGGACAGGCACCACAGCUUGCUCAGGUCUCCCCUGGUCACCCUCAUCCACAUAAAUCACCCUUGUCAGAUCGAACGGCGUGAGAUCUCAGAAAAAGGAAGGGGCAAGACCGAAGACAGAAUUCGCGAUGCGAUAAUGUAAAACUCUCGGAAUCGCUACAACGCACCUGGCUGGGACGAAACUACGUUGUCCGUGUCCAUGGGGUCAUCCCCCUGGCCUGCCGGAGAGGUGGCAGAGGUAGCAACUCUGUCGAGUGAAAUUCAUUCGACCAAUAAAUAGGAGUCCAAUCGAAUAUCAGAAGAAGUUAGAAGAACAAUAUACUUACGUCGAGGUGACGGGAACGGUGACCCUCAUCCGCGGCAAAGCCUUCCGAGGUUUAGAUCCGCUCGGUUUGGCCACCUUGGAAGGCUGACCCGCAAGUUCGGUAGCAGCGUCCCUGGUCCUCUUGGUGCUCCGGGCACCCGGACCCCCGGGAACAGUUGACGGGGCACUCGGAACCGCAGGAGCAGUUGACGGAGCACUCGAGGAUGCUGGAAGGGCCGAGAGAGCUGCAGGUUCAUGUCGGCGCUUGGUUCGAUGCUCUGACGGCGGGGGUGGCGAGUCCUGCUCUUCGUCUUCCCCCUCCUUUUUACUAGACUCUUCCUUCGUUUCCCCACUGUCGGAGACGUACUCGACGCUCUCCACGCUGCCCUCCUGGCUGCCCUCCUCCUCGGCCGGGUUCCCGUUCGAGACAGGGGAAAACCAGUUGGUCUACUUCUGCAUAAAAUACAGUCGGCGACAUCAGGCGUCAGACAGAGAUUCAAGAAAGCGAUUAAACUAAGACAAUUACGUGCACUCGACAAGUGGUACUCACCGCGUUCGGAGGAGGGUUGUCCGCGCAGAAAGCCCUCACUCGCCGGGACCCUCUGGGGUUCUCGCAGGCGCCUGUGAUCUGGAGCACCCACGACGCCACCUUCUCCUCGGUCACUCCCAAGACGUUGGUCCGAGUGGAGUCUUCGGGCCCCGUGUAGUGCCACAUGGCGUGGUCGCGAGCCUGCAGUGGUUGGAUGCGCCGACCGAGGAAAACCUCCAGCAAAUCUAUGCCGGUGACUCCCCUUCUGACGACAUCUACGAGUGCGUCGACCAGAGGCUGGAUGUCGAUCUUCUCCGCCUUCGUGAGCGCAAGCUGCUUGGGGGGAGCGGGUCGAUCUAAGCUAAAAGGAGGCAACCCUGUCGUGGCAUUCGGAUAGGCAACGUCCUGGCAGUAGAACCAUGUCGACUGCCAGUUCCUAACUGACUCACUCAGCUGAAGAGCAGGAUAACUACUUCUACUCUUCUUCUAAAAACCUAAGCCUCCGCAGAGCUGGAGAAGGUGUGUCUUAUCAUCCGACUGGUGAAGUCGUUUGAUGGUUUGGGAUCUAGCAGAGAAAAUAUGUUUGAAAAGCCCCCAAUGGGGGGGACAGCCGAUGAAGCACUCACACAGGACUAUGAAAGCAGAGAGAUAAGCUAUAGCAUUCGGGGGAAAGUGGUGAAGCUGCGCCCCGAAGUGGUUCAUUAUGCCUUUGAAGAAAGGAUGCGGGGGCAGAGAGAAACCUCGAUAUACGUGGCUGAGCAGCAGGACGCGCUCCCCCUCCCGGGGCGCCGGCUCGAUCUCAUUCUCCAUCGGCAACCUCCACGACUUGUGCACGAUCAUCCCGUGCUCCACCAGCUCCAGCAGAUCCCCCUCCGUCACCGUGGAGGGGAGGAAGUCCCCCUGGAUCCACCCCGCCGGUAACGCUCGCUGCCGCCGCUGAGCAGGAGCCGCCGCCUUCCCCUUCUUCUUCUUCGCCUCCAGCUUGCUAGUCUGUCCCUUGGUCAUGGCGGAAGCUGCGGGUCCGCGGAGGAGAAGGAAAGGGAAGGAGCUUGGGUGCGCAGGAGGAGGCGAGAGGAGCGGAGCAAUCAAAGGCAAGAGAUCCGGCGAGCGUAACGAGAAAACCCUCGCCGCCGAGGUUUAAGUAAGGUUCCGACUGCGUCACUGUCAGGUGGCCCCGAAACCUUAUCCCCCGACCAACCGCGGCGAUAUCAGUGGAGAAGAUGAAGGCGCGAGAAUCGAGGCGUCAGGCGCUACUCGAGCGUGCGGUAACCGAAAUUUGAGGAUCUCGGAAAAUCCGCCGCUGUCAGUUGAUUGGUCACGUCAGGAGAUACCCUGGAAGCACUCGGUUUCCGACAGUUCGUUCCACAAAUACUUCCGCUCGGAUCGUUGGUCAGAAAAGAUAAAAUGGAUCGAGGCAAGCAACGCCAAAGCCACAUCCGUUCCAGUCGGAUCCAAACUUCAAGCAUCGCUUCGUCGUUCCAACCCCAAUCCAUUCAGGGACUAAUGAUGGGGUCAUAGUCCUAGGGUAGGGUCAUAGGCCUGCCCUGUAGGUCCAACCCAAGGACUACCCCUCAUAAGGGACAAGGCCCUUAGUCAGUUCCGACUGAACUAAGGAGUUCCCUUCAUCCAGUCGGUAACAGAUCCUCGACCAUCCAGUCGGAGAUUAGCAUUCGGAGUUUAUCAAACUAACCGACUGGAUUCCACUCUGUGCAUCGUAACCCCCCUGGAGGGAAACGGUCAUACGUUUCCAUGUGCCUUUAUUAGCAUUUAGGACGUACGUUACCUGUAACGUAGGCAUUUAUUCGCCACUACUCCACCCCUGUGCACCGAACCGUUGUGGAGGGCAGCGCACUCUAUAUAAGCCACCCUCCCCCACUGGUGCAGGGGUUAGCAACUUAUUGUAUUCCAUA
rnacentral:lncRNA from 1 species